AUUGAACGCUGGCGGCAGGCUUAACACCUGCAAGUCGAGCGAGCGGCGGACGGGUGAGUAAUGUCUGGGAAACUGCCUGCUGGAGGGGGAUAACUACUGGCAACGGUAGCUAAUACCGCAUACCAUCGGAUUUGCCCAGAUGGGAUUAGCUAGUAGGUGGGGUAAAGGCUCACCUAGUCGACGAUCCCUAGCUGGUCUGAGAGGAUGACCAGCCACACUGUAACGGAGACACGGUCCAGACUCCGACGGGAGGCAGCAUUGGGGAAUAUUGCACAAUUGGCGCAAGCCUGAUGCAUCCAUGCCGCGUGUAUGAAGAAGGCCUUCGGGUUGUAAAGUACUUUCAGCGGGGAGGCGUUACCCGCAGAAGAAGCACCUGCUAACUCCGUGCCAGCAGCCGCGGUAAUUC
rnacentral:rRNA from 1 species